CCGGCAUGGACAAUAAACAAGGUUUCAGUCUUCAUUUAUAAAUAUACAGGAGGUAUUAGGAUCUGUCACUGGCGGGUGUAUCCAGAGUAUUUUUAAACAUCUGUCUUUUAUAAAAUCUUUCUAUCUGUUUUUUACGGGUCAGCCGUUACACAUUGAUGAAAACCCGACAGGCAGGUUUUAUUUACUUUGCUGAGAGUGUUUGUUACCAAAAGCUGCAUGAGACCCUUAAUGUUUACUCGCUGGCCUGGUCAGACUAGCAGCUGCCACACAAAGCUGAUGUGCUUUUGUUGUGUGUUCUUUGUUACGAGGAGGGAUAGAGCCUGUCAGCGCCUGGCCUGGGCUUUCGUUUUCGGUUUUCCUCUGCGUCGCUGAGCGAUGCCUUGUCGAGCCAGAGACCCGAAGCUGUGACCACCCAGCUGUCUCCCUGAGACUUUCUUCCAUUGGUGCUGGCAGGCAGGACUGGUUUCAAGAGGGCAGUCCCACCAGACACACCUGCUGUAUUACAUGGUUUAUUCCACGACUUUGGGAAUCAGCCUGCAGACCAGUAUGGAACUCUUCUGGGAACUGGGAUUCUGGAAUGUGCUCCAGAGUCCAGAACACCUCUGAGGACUCCAAAACUCUCUAAUAAUAUCCAGCUGGUGUAACUUCUGCUGGUUUAAACAAUAACUUAAAAUACACUACUACUAUUAAGUCUAUUUUUUUUUCUGGCAGAAUACGUUGUGAGAUUGUCAGUUUUUGUAAGUGAGGAGCUACAAUCAUGUCUGAUGACACAGGACCCAUGUAGGGCGUUUCUUUAUUGAUCAGUGAAGGAAAUACUACUUCGUGAACUGUAUGUGUGUGUGUGUUUUUUUUAUUCUAUAAGAUAUAAUGCUGUUGGAAUGCUAGUUCCAAACAAAUGUGGUUUGUUUGCUCUAAUUUGUAUUUCAACGGUUUCCUGCGUCUACAAUGCUGAGAAAGAAGGCCCCCA
rnacentral:lncRNA from 1 species